rnacentral:misc_RNA from 1 species
AACGCACAUUGCGCCUUUUGGUAUUCCGAAAGGCAUGCCUGUUUGAGUGUCAUAAGACCUCUCAUACCUAGUUUUCUAUGUAUGAGCUUUGGACGUCUGCCAUCUUGUGGCUCGUCUUAAAUGUCUAAGUGGAAUGCGUAAUAAGUUUUCGCUCCCUCCACUCUAAUAACUUUUAGUUAGACCUCAAAUCAGGUAGGGCUACCCGCUGAACUUAA